GCCGGGCACGGUGGCACGUUCCUGUAGUCCCAGCUACUCAGGAGGCUGAGGUGGGAGGAUCACUUGAGCCCCGGAGUUCUGGGCUAUAGUGCGCUAUGCCGAUCGGAUGUCCGCACUGUUUGGCAUCAAUAUGGUGACCUCCCAGGAGCUGGAGACCACCAGGUUGCCUAAGGAUGGGUGAACCGGCCCAGGUUGGAAACAGAGCAGGUCAAAACUCCUGUGCUGAUCAGUAGUGAGAUCGCACCUGUGAAUAGCCACUGCACUCCAGCCUGGGCAACAUAGCGAGACCCCAUCUCUC
ensembl:misc_RNA Metazoa_SRP Metazoan signal recognition particle RNA